CGAGUUUAAUAAAAAUUAAAUUCACCAUAUUUUUAGGGUUUAAAAAAAAAUGUUUUUGAAAUUGAAAGAAACUUGGCUUCACUCAUUCCCCUCUCUCACCCUUCUCCCAAUUUCUCGGUACCUUCUCAAAAUCCCGUCGUUCCCAACUCUGAUUUUGUUCCUUCCACUUAUAAUCGUUCCCAUCAUCUUUCCGUUGCCGCAAAAGAGGAUCUCAAUCCCAUUACCGAGUACCCUUCAAAUCAGAAAUCGCCCCUAGUUAAUCCCUCAAAGUUUGAUGUCAAGAACAAUACCAAGUUUCCGGAUAAUCCCUCUGUCACCGGAAAGGAUGAUGAAAGCGAUACUCAACAACCAUCUCGAGCACCCACAGUUCGGCCAGCAAAGAACAAACAAAAGAAGCGGCGGUUCGCGGUUGUACUUACGAGGGAAGAGAUUGAAGAUGAUAUCGCCGCAAUCGAAGCCUUGGCAGGCGGCAAGCGAUUACGAAGGCCCAAGAACCGAGACCCAUCUUGUAACAGAACCGAUCGAAGGCACCUUGAUCAUUUGUUUCCAGGGUUACGGAAUUGAAAACUGUCAUCAAAUUAUUUUAUUUGCUCACAAGCACUGGUUAGCUUUGUACUGCUGCAGGAAUUUCAUGUGCACUGACUGCAUGUUUAUCCAACAUGAGCCAUUUUCAUUCCUUAACUCAGUAGUGACUACUGCAGGGGGAUAUUUAGAUUUGCUUUCCAUCUUCUGUUAUUUAGUGUUGAAGGAUUGAUAGAAGAGCUAGAAAUAGGGGCUUACCUUAAUAUGCAAGACAAACCAUAAUUCAGUAUUGGUCUUGUAUGGCCAAGCCUGGGUUGUCCUUCCCUUAUCCAAUUUUUUUUUUUCUAUACUGAAGUUUUCCUUGCUGUAAGGGGGAUCUUGUCUGGCGAUGACAUUGGUUGUCACUUGGUGUAAAAGAACUAGGGUGACUAUGUUGGUGGAUUGCUGGAUUUGUAUUCGUUUUUGGUUGGUAUCAAAAUUGACAGGACUGGUAGGGUAUGGUGGUUGUCUAUGUGUGCUACUACUCUUUGGUAUCAAAAGUUGAACAAAAUCCUCAUUCCGGAAUCAGCAUAGCCGUGAGACAUUGUCGAAUGAGCAGAUUGAUAUUAUUGAGUUUAAUGAUGAUAACAAUGCAUAUCCUUAAUCGUCUAUCUUUACACUAGAAUGAAGUAAAUAAGAUGUAUAUUCACCUGCUUUCGAGCUUGACAUCUUGCUGCUGAUUCUCUGUUCUUUAUCAUUCUCCUUUGCUGCCUCUCGGCAACCUUCUCCACAGCAGUGCAUUUCCUACCCCUCGAACUUCCAUUGAACACAUAAGGAACUGGCGAGACUGAGGAAGUAUCCGCACUACUCUUCCCUAUCCCAUCUGAUGAGAAGUGGUUAGCAGGUGAUCCAGCUGCAAUGCUGACAGGCCCUCCUAAAUCAACCAUCCCCGUCUUUCCACCCUGAAUAAGACCAUUACUUAGUCCCUGGCCCCCCAUCUCAGUAAUUCCCCCUCUAUUUCCAGAACUCCCCAACCGACCACCACUUUGUAAAGGCAUCUGACAUCCAAAUCCUACAGCAGGUAAAGUGAUGCUGGUGGUUAUGUUGAGUUUGCUGCUGAACUAACUGGUGCUGGUUUGAUUUAACCCCAUUAACAUUCAAAGGCAAAUUGGAAGCCUGAAAACCUGUUUGAUUACUACCUUGAGAAAGGCUAUUCCGCACCCGGUGAUGGUAUGCUUAAAUUGCUGCUACAUAGCUGCCUUACAAGCCCUUGGAGGUACCUUCAUCAAGCUGCUGUUGAGUGCAUCAAAGUCAGGGGUAUGCUGAUAGGGUGAUGAUAUGCUUAAAUUGCUGCUUCAGAAUGGAUGCGCAAGGUUUCUUUUAACUAUUGAAUCUGAUUCUGCAAUUGCUUUGUUGUGGACUAUUGAUAAAUCUAAAAGACCCGAGAUGGUUUGGGAUAUUCAAUAAAUGUGAAGUUUGAAUCUUGCAUUUUAACCCUUUUUUCCUUAUUUUCAGAUUGUAGGUUAAAGACCUAAUUUGUACAAAGUUGUAAGAAUGGCCUUACAUUUUCUUAUUUCAAUUGUCUUAAAAUUUUAGUUUAGAACUUCUGGUUUUUGGUUUCAAUUUGUUUCAGCUUUUAAAAGAUUCAACAUAGUUUCAAGAAAUGUUUUUGUAGCUGGAACCAUAUUAUGUUGUUCUUUCAAUCAAUGGCUAAAACAAGAUGAUGUUUGGGGA